rnacentral:rRNA from 1 species
UCCUACGGGGGGCAGCAGUGAGGAAUAUUGGUCAAUGGGCGGGAGCCUGAACCAGCCAAGUCGCGUGAGGGAAGAAGGUACUGAGUAUUGUAAACCUCUUUUGCCAGGGGACAAAGGCGGCCACGGGUGGCCGUAAGAGGGUACCUGGAGAAAAAGCCCCGGCUAACUCCGUGCCAGCAGCCGCGGUAAUACGGAGGGUGCAAGCGUUACUCGGAAUCACUGGGCGUAAAGAGCGCGUAGGCGGGAUAGCAAGUCAGAUGUGAAAUCCUAUGGCUUAACCAUAGAACUGCAUUUGAAACUGUUAU